rnacentral:rRNA from 1 species
AACGAACGCUGGCGGCGCGCCUAAUACAUGCAAGUCGAGCGAGAAGACGUAGCAAUACGUUUGUAAAGCGGCGAACGGGUGAGGAAUACAUGGGUAACCUACCCUCGAGUGGGGAAUAACUAGCCGAAAGGUUAGCUAAUACCGCGUACGCUCCUUGGACUUCGGUUCAGGGAGGAAAGCGAUACCGUGGGUAUCGCGCUCUUGGAUGGGCUCAUGUCCUAUCAGCUUGUUGGUGAGGAACGGCUCACCAAGGCUUCGACGGGUAGCUGGUCUGAGAGGACGAUCAGCCACACUGGCACUGCGACACGGGCCAGACUCCUACGGGAGGCAGCAGUAAGGAAUAUUGCGCAAUGGGCGAAAGCCUGACGCAGCGACGCCGCGUGGGGGAUGAAGGUCUUCGGAUUGUAAACCCCUUUCGGGAGGGAAGAUGGAACGAGCAAUCGUUCGGACGGUACCUCCAGAAGCAGCCACGGCUAACUUCGUGCCAGCCGCCGCCGUAAC